ensembl:lncRNA
UCAUAGUUUUGGUGUCUUCACUAUUAUUAUACAAUGUAGAAAAUAGUAAAAAUAAAGAAAAACCCUUGAAUGAGCAGGUGUGUCCAAACUUUUGACUGGUACUGUAUUUACAAUUUCUUUGGGGGGUGCGGGGUUCAAUGUGAAGAGGAGUAUUAUUUAAGAUACUGUUUGAAGAGGUAGGGUUUCAGAUGCUUUCGGAAGAUGGGCAGGGACUCUGCUGUCCUAGCUUCAGGGCGAAACUGGUUCCACUAUUGGGGUGCAAGGACAGAGAAGAACAUGGACUGGGCUGAGCGGGAGCUGCCCUCCCGUACUGGUGGGAGGGCUAAGACACCUGAGGUGGUAGAACAGAGUGUUCUUGCUGUUCCGUAUGUAAGCACCACGGUCUUGUAGUGGAUGCGCACUUCAACUGGAAGCCAGUGGAGCCUGCGGAGGAGCGAGGGGACAUGACAGAACUUGGGAAGGGGAAAAACCAGGCGGGCUGCAGUGUUCUGGAUACGUUGCAGGGGUUUGAUGGGACAUGCGAGGAGUCCUGCCAACAGCGAGUUGCAGUAGUCCAGACGGGAGAGGACAAGUGCCUGGAUUAGGACCUCCACCACUUCCUGUGUGUGGUAGGGUCGUACUCUACGGAUGUUGUAGAGCAUCAAACUGCAAGAGAGAAUGACAGGGUGUUGUCCAGGGUCAUGCCAAGGUUCUUUGCACUCUGGGAGGAUGACACUGUGGAGUUGUCAACCGUGAUGGAGAGGUCUUUGAAUUCCGUCUUGUCGAGGUUGAGCUUGAGGUGGUGGGCUGACAGCCACAUUGAGAUAUCUACCAGGCACGCAGGGAUGCAUGUAGCCACCUGGGUGUCAGAAGGGGGGAAGGAGAAAAGUAGUUGACUGUCAUCCGCAUAGCAAUGAUAGGAGAGACCAUGGAUAUGAUUGAGAGGAGUGACUUGGUGUAUAGAGCGAAGAGGAGAGGGCCUAGAACCGAGCCCUGGGGGACACCAGCAGUCAGAGCAUGUGGUGCAGACACAGAUUCUCUCCACGUCACCUGGUAGGAGCGGCCUGCCAGGUAGGAUGCAAUCCAAGAGUGUUCAGAGCCUAAGAUGCCCAGCUCUGAGAAGGUGGAGAGCUGGAUCUGAUGGUUCACGGUGUCAAAGGCAGCGGAUAGAUCUAGGAGGAUGAAAACAGAGGAGAGAGUCAGCUUUGGGAGUGCGGAGAGCUUCUGUUACACAGAGAAGAGCAGAGUCGGACGAGUGACCCGUCUUGAAGCCUAACUGGUUUGGGUCAAGAAGAUUGUUCCUAGAGGGAUAACGAGAAAGUUGAUCAGAUACAGCAGAUACAGUGUUUUAGAAAGAAAAGAAAGAAGGGAUACAGGUCUAUAGUUUUUGCCAUCAGUUGAGUCCAGUGUUAGUUUCUUGAGGAGGAGAGCAAUUUGGGCCUGUUUGAAGUCAGAGGGGACGCAGCCAGUGGUCAGGGAUGAGUUGAGGGAAGUGAGGAAUGGGAGAAGGUCUCCAGAGAUGUUCUGGAGAAGGGAGGAAGGGAUGGGGUCGACCAGGCAGGUUGUCAGGCGGCCAGACCUCACUAGUCACAGGAUGUCAUCUGGAGAGAGAGGGGAGAAAGAGGUCAAGGUCGUAUGGUAGUUCCAUGUGAGUGAGACCAGUGGACUCAAUACGCUGAGUGAAUGAGUAGCGGAUGUCGUCAACCUUUUUUUCAAAAGUGGUUGACAAAGUCGUCGGCAGAGAGGGGAGGAGGGAGAGGGAGGGGGUGGAAGAUUAAGGAGGGAGGAGAAGGUGGAAAAUAGUUUCCUAGAGAAAUUUAGAGUGGUAGAAAGGACGGAGUCUGUUGCCAUUUGGGAUGCAUCCCAGGUCAGAUCUAGCCUUCCCACACCUCCCCCAUAGAACCUUUUAAAACAGGGCUUCCCAAACUGAAUUCAGGACCCACUAGUGGUCCCUGCUGGCCACAUGUGCGUUGUUACUAAAGACCUGUUUUGUUUAUUUGUUGGGUCACAUGAAAAUGAAACAGGCUUUAGGAGGUUAAGAGUGGGUAGGCGGAAGUGGCUACGGUUAAGUGGUUAUGGUGUGGGAAAGAACUAAACCAUAGAGCUGCAGACUGUGGGAGGAUUUCAUUUCAAUUACAGUACUAAAAACAUCAGCUAGGCUAUAUAAGAGCACUGCUGGUUGUCUUAACUGCCCUCUGAGAACCACACACUAAGAACGUCCUCAGACCUAAACCGAGUUAUGAUUACCGAUUACCACGCAGAACCCUGCCCCACCCUGCACUAAUUAGAGCCUAGAGUACAGUGUGCUUGUGUGUGUGUGAGUUUGUGCAUGUGUGUGUGUGUGUGUGUGUGUGUGUGAGUGUGUGUGUGUGUCAUCGGACCCCCCCUCUAUCUCACACCUAUUAGUGUAAUUAUGAGUCUAACGCUAAAGUGUCAACGCCUGCAGGUCCACAAAGAGAAGAAGAAAGAGAGGAAAAGAGGGAUGAUUGAAUAGACAGACAGAGCUCACAGUUCAUUGCUGUGUGGUGAGUCACACAUUAGGCCAGCAGCAACCUGUUAUGGCCAGUCCCAGUCUGUCUGUCUCUAGGGAGACAGGGAUGGAGAGGAGGAUGAGAGGGGGAGAAGAAUAGAGGAAAGAGGAGGAGGAUAAAGGGAAGGUGGAGUGAAAGAUAAUAGAGAGUUGAGACAGAUAAUAAGAGGGGGGAUUUUAGAGGAAAGAGGAGGAGGAUAAAGGGAAGUUGGAGUGAAGGAUAAUAGAGAGUUGAAACAGA